rnacentral:rRNA from 1 species
CAUGCAAGUCGAACGAGGUCCAAUCAUUCGCAAGUUUGAGGAAGACCUAGUGGCGAACGGGUGCGUAACACGUGAGGAACCUAUCCCAGUCUCUGGAAUAACAGGUGGAAACACCUGCUAAUACCGGAUGCCGUUGGACCAUCGCAUGGUGGACCAACGAAAGAUUUAUCGGAGUGGGAGGGCCUCGCGGCCUAUCAGCUUGUUGGCGGGGUAACGGCCCACCAAGGCGACGAUCCUUAGCUGGUCUGAGAGGAUGAUCAGCCACACUGGGACUGAGACACGGCCCAGACUCCUACGGGAGGCAGCAGUGGGGAAUAUUGGACAAUGGGCGAAAGCCUGAUCCAGCAAUGCCGCGUGAGUGAUGAAGGCCUUAGGGUUGUAAAGCUCUUUUACCCGGGAUGAUAAUGACAGUACCGGGAGAAUAAGCUCCGGCUAACUCCGUGCCAGCAGCCGCGGUAAUACGGAGGGAGCUAGCGUUGUUCGGAAUUACUGGGCGUAAAGCGCACGUAGGCGGCUUUGUAAGUUAGGGGUGAAAGCCUGGAGCUCAACUUCAGAAUUGCCCUUAAGACUGCAUCGCUUGAAUCCAGGAGAGGUGAGUGGAAUUCCGAGUGUAGAGGUGAAAUUCGUAGAUAUUCGGAAGAACACCAGUGGCGAAGGCGGCUCACUGGACUGGUAUUGACGCUGA